AUAUGUUCCUGAUUUAAUUUAGUUUCUUUUGUUACCUAUUCUGACAUCAACUUCGGACCUCUUUGAACUGAUUUUCAAUAUUGGCUAGAGGCAUCGGGGAGGGUUGAGAUAAAAAAUAAAAAAAUAAAUAAAAAAAAAACAUGUUUAACCCUGUCGCACUUUUGUGUCCGUCCUAAGUCAAGACCCUCUGGCCUGUAGGGGACAGCCGAAGCCCAACUCCGAGUGUAUGAAUUUCUUGAGCUGCGCUAAAGACCAAAUGGUGGCCUUUCGCUGUUGUCUGCUCUUUGGUGGGUUUGAUGUUUUCUUUGGAACAUUCCUCAUUUCAAUUCUCAAUUUUAUUGUGUUCAAAUUUCAUAAUAGUACACAAAGGCU
rnacentral:lncRNA from 1 species